AAAUUCCAACCUCCUCUUCUUCUUCCAACUCUUCAAAAACUUGGAUAUCCUCACUUGCGCUCGAUCGAUUGCUUGUAUCGCUGUUUGAAUCAUUGUUUGAAAUGCUUUGCAUGUCUGCCAUAUGGAGCUCUGCCAUCGCUGUUCUCCAUGUGACGUAUCACUUCCGGGUUCUGCCCCUUUCGGGCUGGAACUUCGGAAAAUCGAUUAUUUUGUCAAAUAUACAACAUAUAAAUUAUUUGUUCAUGCUUUAUUUGGUGGACAACGUUUAAGUACUUUCAUUGUGACCCUAUUUGGCAUUUCAUGAAAUUACUUCACACUUGGCCUUUAACAAAACAUUUAACAUAA